rnacentral:lncRNA from 1 species
UUCCGUAACGGACCUAAAAAUAGCUUGUCCCGGAGGGACUGGGGAGAGGCUCCGCCCCUCCUUGGGGUCGGGUGGGGUGGCUCUCGCGGGAGCAGGAGGCAGCGGAGACCCCAGCCUCCAGCUGCGGGCGCCCAGAGGUUUUUCUGUGCCCCCGGUCCCACAGGUUGGCAGCAGGUGGCCGGGCGGCUCUGCCCCGUGCCGUUCAGAGCCCGAGCUGCCGCGCGGGGUGGGGGUGGGGUGGGGGCCGGGGAGCGGAGGAAGCAUCCCAGGCAGGCGCGGCGGCGAGGAUUCCGGGAACAGCCUCCGUCCAGGGCGGUGGAGCGAGUCGGGAGGCGGGGCCGGGGCGGAGGGGCGGAGCCGCUCUUUCGCGACCUCUGCCCACUGCCUGGGUUCCGGGGACCCCCAGGUGAGCCGGGCCGCGUGGGAAAACUAUGCCAGGAAUUUGGCCCGAGCAGGAGCGGCGUGCAGUCCAAGACGCUAGCCUCGGUCGCAGUAGGCUCAACAGCAGCGCCUCCGACGCCCAGCGGGGUCCGGCGGGGAGCUCUGCCUCGGGACGCACCGCCCCUUGCGCCCGGCGGCUUCCCCAUCCCCGGUGCCUGGCCCACUCCGGACCGAGGUGUGGGAAAGCAGUCUGCUGAUAAUUUAGUUUGAAGAAAACACAGCGUUCCUGCCUCUGGGGCGCGUGGUCUCCAGGCCCUCUCUCAGCUCCUGUGCCUGUUGCCGUGGCCUUGGUGGCACCCUUCCCCGGUGGCCAGCCCAGGGCUUCCCCCACCCAUGCAGUCUCCCACCACCACUGCCCAGGGCCUCAGCGGCCCCCUCUUUGGGGCCUACACUCUCCCCACCUUCAAGUUCCAGCCUCGCCGUGAGAGUGUGGACUG